rnacentral:rRNA from 1 species
AUUGAACGCUGGCGGCAUGCCUUACACAUGCAAGUCGAACGGUAACAGGUUAAGCUGACGAGUGGCGAACGGGUGAGUAAUGUAUCGGAACGUGCCCAGUCGUGGGGGAUAACUGCUCGAAAGAGCAGCUAAUACCGCAUACGACCUGAGGGUGAAAGCGGGGAUUGCAAAACCCUGGCGCGUUUGAACCGCCCGAUAUCAGAUUAGGUAGUUGGUGAGGUAAAGGCUCACCAAGCCGACGAUCUGUAGCUGGUCUGAGAGGACGACCAGCCACACUGGGACUGAGACACGGCCCAGACUCCUACGGGAGGCAGCAGUGGGGAAUUUUGGACAAUGGGCGCAAGCCUGAUCCAGCCAUGCCGCGUGCGGGAAGAAGGCCUUCGGGUUGUAAACCGCUUUUGUCAGGGAAGAAAAGGUUCUGGCUAAUACCUGGGACUCAUGACGGUACCUGAAGAAUAAGCACCGGCUAACUACGUG